rnacentral:misc_RNA from 1 species
AAAAAAAAAAAAAUUAUUUGAGUCAAUACAUAUCAUAGGCGGCUGCAACUGUUAUCACAAAAUUUGCUGCACAGCCAUGCACUUCGUGACCUACAAAAAUUCACAGCUCAAUUGAAGGAAAUUCCCAAGUCCCAGCCCUCUUUAUUUUGAAGAAAAAAAAUUGUCAAAUACAGAAUGACACGAAAAUGGAAAAGGGGAAGUUAUAUAAGGACAGAGCAUUUAUGAUUGAAUAGUAAAUUUCAUCCAUCCAUGAGGGGGGAAAGUGCUGAAGUAGAGCAACCUUUUAGUUCAGAUACAACAGAAGAAAUAAUAAAACAUGAUUUACAUUGGAAUUUAUGCACUCCAAACCACAUUUCAACUACUAUCAAGCAUCAAAUAUUGAGGGGGAAAAAAAUUAGUAAUCCUGGACUACACACCAAAUUCUCUUGAAACGUAAAAAAUGUCAUUAUUUCCUUUUUUACCACAGUAUUUGCAUGGAAAUAUCUUCACUACUCCCAUGUUUGUGCCACAACUUCAAACAUGUGAAAAAUGAUAAUCUUCCUUGUAAUAAGUAGGUGAAAAUGCCAAGAACAGGCUGUUGCUUGUCAGUAAAAGAAAUAGGAAAUACUGCCGCAUAAUUACAACAAACUCGAGAAUCAUUGGUUACCUCAUAAAUGCAUGCCCUGGAAUAGUCCAUCCUCAGAAGCACGUGCCAAAUCCGGCAGAAAUUAAUGAUUUUAUUGGUUUCUAUUCUGGGUGUUGGAAUUCGAGAUCUAGUUUCCUCUUCAGAUGGGAUCUGUCAGCACUGUUAAUUGUGGGUCUGCUCAUAGGUCUUGAUCCAAAGACAGAAAAAUCUAUUGACAUUGGCACCUGUUCACUCCUGCCAGUGUAAUUCCCAGCUGCCUGUCUGAUUUCACCAUGUUCAUCAAUCUUAUCAACUUGAUUUGCAUUUCCAUCAUAUCCCUCUCGGUCAGGCAUCACUCUUCUUGCCUUCCUUGGAGGUGAUAACACAGUGGGUCCCUCCCUUGGAUGAAAAUCUGAAGCCCUAGGAUUGACAGAUUCCUGCUUGGGGGCAGGUCUAGGGAGCUUAGCCGGCUCUGUAGGCAGAGGUGCAGAUGAGAAGUACCUGUGCUCUAAUGCCUGUUCCACUGAAAUUCUAACUUUUGGAUCAUAAGUAAACAUCUUUGCCAACAGAUCUAAAGCAUCAUCACUAGCCAUUGGAAACAAUUUACGCCAAGGUUGUGCAGGAACGGAUUGGUAUUCCACAUAAUCAGGGAGGUAUACUAAAUCAGGCCACUGUGAAGGUGUUGGAGUCCCUAUAGCUUGAAAAAUCUUUCCUAAUUGAUCAAUGUCACUUGUCCCCUGCAGAAAUGGUCGGCGGAGGAGGAGUUCAGCAAAUAUACAGGCUGCAGCCCAAACAUCAACCCCAGCACCGUAUUGUUUGGUGCCAAACAACAGUUCUGGUGCUCUAUACCACCGGGCAAAGACUUGGUGAGUGAACUUUCGACCUGGGCUUCCAAAUAUACGUGCUAAACCAAAAUCCGCAAGUUUAAGCUGUCCAUUAGAAGCUAUCAACAAGUUGUUCGGCUUCAUAUCUCUAUGCAAAACCCAUUUCCUAUGGCAAUAAGCCAGUCCUUUCAAUGUCAUUUGGAAGUAUGAUUUUAUGUCAGCUGGUGAAAGAAAUAUGUUUCGAUCACGAAUAACUGCUUCAAGAUCAGUCUCCAUGAACUCAAACACAAGAUGCAAGUUCCCCUUAUGAGGAAAUGCAUCAAUCAACUCAAUUAUAUUAGGGUUUUUAAGCUCUUUAAGGAGUUUAAUCUCUCUAAGUGCUGUAAAAUUUAUCCCUUCCUUUUGCUUCCCAAGGCGAAUUUUCUUAAUUGCCACUGUCUGUCCAGUCUUAGUAUCGAUGGCUUUGUAGACGACACCAUACGUACCUUCACCAAGCACUUCACGCUUUAGAUACCUAUCGGCCACUUUCUUGUCUGUAUCUUUUCCUGACAUUGUUGCUUUUUCUUUAAUUUUCUUUUUCCGUUUUAGUGUAUCUUUUAUAUUACAAAUACCAUUGCAAUUGAUAUUAGCAUAAUCAGAUUUCAGGAAUUUUUCUCAGGAAAUCAUGUUCUGCAAUCCAAAAAAUAGGGUUUGUACACGAGUUCUUUUCUGGGUAUUAUCCUACAUAGUGAAAUGAAUUCUAUAGGCUUGAGGAAGUAGAAGAAGAGAGAGAGCUAAUGCUUGCAGACUGCAGAGUGUGUUUGGAAGGUUGGAAAGAAUGGGAAAGGAGGGGGGAUGGGGCUGUGGGG